GAUGAACGCUGGCGGCGUGCUUAACACAUGCAAGUCGAACGAAGCAUUUUAACUUGAUUUCUUCGGAUUGAUUGUUACUAUGACUGGGUGGCGGACGGGUGAGUAACGCGUGGGUAACCUGCCUCAUACAGGGGGAUAACAGUUAGAAAUGACUGCUAAUACCGCAUAAGCGCACGGUAUCGCAUGAUACAGUGUGCAAAACUCCGGUGGUAUGAGAUGGACCCGCGUCUGAUUAGCUAGUUGGUGGGGUAACGGCCUACCAAGGCGACGAUCAGUAGCCGACCUGAGAGGGUGACCGGCCACAUUGGGACUGAGACACGGCCCAAACUCCUACGGGAGGCAGCAGUGGGGAAUAUUGCACAAUGGGCGAAAGCCUGAUGCAGCGACGCCGCGUGAAUGAAGAAGUAUUUCGGUAUGUGAAGUUCUAUCAGCAGGGAAGAUAAUGACGGUACCUGACUAAGAAGCACCGGCUAAAUACGUGCCAGCCGCCGCGGUAAAAC
rnacentral:rRNA from 1 species